UACAGAGGGUGCGAGCGUUAUUCGGAAUUACUGGGCGUAAAGCGCGCGUAGGCGGCUUUGCAAGUCGGGUGUGAAAUCCCCAGGCUUAACCUGGGAACUGCAUUCGAGACUGCAUUGCUAGAGUAUGGGAGAGGGAAGUGGAAUUUCAGGUGUAGCGGUGAAAUGCGUAGAUAUCUGAAGGAACAUCAGUGGCGAAAGCGACUUCCUGGACCAAGACUGACGCUCAUGUGCGAAAGCGUGGGGAGCAAACGGG
rnacentral:rRNA from 1 species